UUUUUUGUGAUAUUAGUAGUGGCACUACUGUUAAAUGUAGUAUUUUAAGAAGAACAGCACUAUUUAUGGUCAUUAAAAUGAACUAGAAUGUGUAUUGUGCAUUAUGGUAGCUUUGGAGGCAGCCAUCUUGUUUUGUAUCAAUCUCCUCAUGCUCAGAGACAGUCACUCACUUCAUGUAAGGGGUUCGACUAGUUUUGGGGGAGUUGUUGAGUGGACUUGCCCAAAUCCGAGCCCACUUUUCUCCUUUGAAUGACAAGUCUGCAUGGUCUCACCAACAGACAUUACCGCCCAUUCCCUCAAAUCGUACUUUUUUUAUUUUCUAUAAAGAAAAACAAUUCUAUUACUUUAUUUUUAAUUUCUUGUUUCAUUCUUUCAUUUAAACCAAUUUUUAAAGAGAAGGAAUACAAUAAAUACAAAUCUGAAUAUUCAAUCACUUUUUCUACUUCUAUUUUCAAAAUAACUGAAGAAAAAAAACGAAAUAAAAAGUUGAUUUGUAUAUAAGUGAUGUACAGUUUGUAUCUGUUAAUGUCAGUCUGUCUUUGGUGACAGAGUCUGUCUUGCUUAUAACGCACGCUACCAGUAAAUAAAACAUGACAAAUAUAUUUAGACUGUACGGUCCUUGAAAGCAAGUUUUAAAUUAAUCUGAUGUAUAUUCCUGUAACAUUGCAUUUUUAUCUGAGGAAUUAUGUUAUUAAAAAAUUGCUAAUAAAUUGCAUUUCCUACAUCUCCUUUUUGGAUUCUCUAUCUAUUCUGGAGGUUUGGGAGGCAUCACAAUGCAGAAGUGUAAGUCCAAUACUUGGCAUAGGUUUAGCCAACAUUUUAAACCAACUAUUUGUUUAAUGGUUCCCCCAAAAAACUGUAUUGCACCUGUGGUUACGAUGGUCUGUGUGUUGUCAGUGGGAGAAUUUAGAACCCUGUGUCCCUGUUCGAAUGUUCCUGUUCUCUUCUGGAAUUUCCAGGACAGGAUGACGACAUCGCAUCUAGAUAAACUCACCUGUUAUUCCUGCUCUGUCGAAGCCACGGUCUGACGUGGCACUGGGAAUGACUGUCCUGCUGACAGGCUAAACACACACACACGUACAUGUAGUGACUGUUGUGUUAGACAGAAAACCCUUGAACACUGGGUGCAACAGUUACAGGCUCCAAAACUGGCCCCACAUUGUACAAUCAGUUAAAAGAGGUUUAUAUAAGCCUUGAACACAUUUUCCUUGAGGUACAGUAUUAAUCCAGAGCUCCAGCUUGUGGCCAUGCAGGUACUGUGGACUCUGUGGCCAUGCAGGUACUGUGGACUCUGUGGCCAUGCAGGUACUGUGGACUCUGUGGCCAUGCAGGUACUGUGGACUCUGUGGCCAUGCAGGUACUGUGGACUCUGUGGCCAUGCAGGUACUGUGGACUCUGUGGCCAUGCAGGUACUGUGGACUCUGUGGCUCUGGGGUUGAACUCCUGCCUUGCACCACAACUCUCAAUGUCAACAACACAAUGAAAAAUAGGUCUGAGUGUGAAGGGGUCUGAGUGUGAAGAGGUCUGAAUGUGAAGGGGUCUGAGUGUGAAGGGGUCUGAGUGAGAAGGGGUCUGAGUGAGAAGGGGUCUGAAUGUGAAGGGGUCUGAGUGUGAAGAGGUCUGAAUG
rnacentral:lncRNA from 13 species